rnacentral:lncRNA from 1 species
AUCCUCCACCUGUGCUUUGCCGGCUUGUCCCUGAUCAGUUGCAUCAUCAUCACCUGAGGGUGCCUGUUAGCGUCACAGGACGUGGGGCCCUGUUCAGCUCCAGACUCAGAAUCCCCGGGAGUGAAACCCAGAAAUCUAGUUUUAUCACUCUAGGUGUAAUUCUGAUUCGUACUCAUAGAGUAGCCAGCCCGAGGCUUUGCUCAUAGGAGGUACUUGCAUGCCAGGCACACCCCACCCUGGAGCCUUUGUCCGUGGUGUUCCCUGGACCUGGAAAGACCAUGCCCCCUCCCUCAGCGGUCUUCAAACUUCUCCAGUUCACCUUGAUUUCUUCAAAUGGAGACCACCACAUCCUUGUUUUGUUUUUGUUCUGUUUUGUUUUGUCUUGUUUUGUGGGAGGAAGUUCCUUACCACUAAGACCAAAGACCAGAGUUUGAUUUUAUAUAAAUAAACUAUUCUGACAGGCUCCAGGAACAGUGGCUCCUCUGCGGAAGGACCCCUCUCCACUCCCCUCUGAAGGAAGCUCAGAGCUUUGCUAUCUCCAAGUUAACGUCUCCGCUGCUCUCCCAGUAUCUCCCGGGUGUAGACCUCCUGACUGCCAAUUCCAGGUUGCACAGUCUCAGAAUCAGGCAUCAUUAGCUUGUCCGACACCAUUCUUAAAGAACGGCUGGAAUAUGCCUUUCACUAAAGGAGAACUGAGGCAAGAGGAGUGAGGAAGAGAACAGGUUCACAGCCAGAGCAGCUUCUGGAGGCUCUGAAGGGGCACUGACAUCUCUUGGAUAUUACGAGGACUUGGGGCCAGUCCAUGAGCACGCAUGGGACCUAGUGGGACACCCUGGAUGUUUUCUCAGACCUCAGCCUCCUUUGCAGACCACAGCAGACAUAAUUUCCCUCCCAUGCUCCAGAAUCAGGU